GACAUAGGUGGCAAACGUUAUCCGGAAUUAUUGGGCGUAAAGGAUGCGUAGAUGGUCUAGUAAGUUAUCAGUGGUAAAUCAGGACCCAACCUCGUGGAAGUUGGUAAUACUGUUAGACUUGAGUAUCGGAGAGGUUAACGGAACUCCCUGUGGAGCGGUGAAAUGUGUAGAUAUAGGGAAGAACACCAAACGGCGAAGGCAGUUAACUAUUCGACUACUGACAUUGAGGCAUGAAAGCGUGGGGAGCAAAACGG
rnacentral:rRNA from 1 species